rnacentral:tRNA from 1 species
GGGCCGUCGGAGCAGCGGAACGCUCGCCUGACUCUCGAUCAGGAGAUCACCGGUUCGAUCCCGGUACGGCCUGC